GAUGAACGCUGGCGGCGUGCUUAACACAUGCAAGUCGAACGGUGAAGGCGGAGCUUGCUCUGCUGGAUCAGUGGCGAACGGGUGAGUAACACGUGAGCAAUCUGCCCCUGACUCUGGGAUAAGCGCUGGAAACGGCGUCUAAUACUGGAUACGAGCUGCGAAGGCAUCUUCAGCAGCUGGAAAGAAUUUCGGUCAGGGAUGAGCUCGCGGCCUAUCAGCUUGUUGGUGAGGUAAUGGCUCACCAAGGCGUCGACGGGUAGCCGGCCUGAGAGGGUGACCGGCCACACUGGGACUGAGAGACGGCCCAGACUCCUACGGGAGGCAGCAGUGGGGAAUAUUGCACAAUGGGCGAAAGCCUGAUGCAGCAACGCCGCGUGAGGGACGACGGCCUUCGGGUUGUAAACCUCUUUUAGCAGGGAAGAAGCGAAAGUGACGGUACCUGCAGAAAAAGCGCCGGCUAACUACGUG
rnacentral:rRNA from 1 species